ensembl:lncRNA
CACACUCCUGUUGUUCCUCAUCUAACAGCUGGAAGUAAAAGCCUCACAAAUUUGCUUCCUGGGGUUUGGAUUGUCUCCAUGUCAUGAGUUUUGUCUAAGUGACAUGGAAAGCAGCAUUUUACUUUGUUCUCUAAGAUGUGUUCAUUGCUCGAGUGAAUACUCCAGUCACUUUCUCCUCCAGUCACCUUCUUCUAAAUCUUCCUUGUCGCAUCUUGAUUCCAGUCAGUUGCUGCUCCCCCUGCAGGACCUAUCUCCCCCCAGAAAAGAGCACUACUCCAAUAUCACCCCAGUGUUCUCUGAUGCCUUCCACAGACGGGGCUCAGUCAGCACCCCUCCUAGAAACCCCCAGGAUCUUCCUGCUAGGGCUGCACUCAGGGUCUCUGUUUGCAUGGCUCACUUCAAUCUUGCACUUCUUCCUGUGUGACUCACUCACGUGGAUCCCCAGUGAGAAGUGGCUGCUGAGAGGGAAGCUGAGCACGUGAAGCUCCUGCAGCCACUACACCCUGCGCCUCUGACACGGGGUUGCCCAUUUCUCGUGAACGAGUGGGAAACUUCCUUGAAGUGCACCAACCUCGCAUGAGGAGGAUACUUAAGUAUGUGUGGAGAUACUGAAGGGACGGCAUAAUGGUGGGUACUCUUAGCAGGGACAGUUGGGGUGGCGCAAAAGGAUCAUGCUUCAAAACUGGAUCUCAUCUAGGGAACAGAGUCCUGAUAUGGCAUGGAAAUGCACAGAGGGGAACGUUGCAGGGGUUGAGAGGGUCAGUGGUGACAAAGGUCAAGAUGAAGGAGCUGGACGGACAUGUCAGGAGCAAGUCUUCAAUGGAGAAAAGCAGACGAGGACAGGAGAUAAAGAGCUGACUCUGUAACAUGCAGGAGGAGCUGUUGGCCCUGUGGAGCUGGGACUGGGCUCCCCCAGUUACUUUCUCUCUUCUCCCCAGUAGAUUCUUUCAGUGCAGACUUCAUCUUUAUUGUUGUCUCAAGGAUUACAGAACCCUUGGCUUAUUGUUUUCCAGCUCUCUUGAAACAUAAUUGGCAUAUAAUUUGGUACCUUUUCAGAUCCACUCUCUUAGCAACUUUCAAGUAAACAAGACGGAAUUGCUAACUACAGUCCCCAUGCUGUACAUCAGAUCCCUAGAAAUUCUCCACCUGAUAAGGGGACGUCUGUGCGCUUUGACCACCGUCGCCCAUCUCCUCACCCCCUGCCUCUGGCAACCACCAGUAGACUUUGUGUUUCUAUGAAUUCACUUUUUAAAAAUUCCAUACAUAAGUGCAACCCUACAGUAUUUCUGUUUUCCUGCCUGACAUAUUUCCCAUAGCAUAAUGCCCUCAACAUGCAUCCAUGUUGUCACAAAUAUCAGGAUUUCCUUCUUUGCCCUGGCUGAAUAACACAUAAUAUUCCAUUAUGAGUGUGUGUGUGUGUGUGUAUCUCACAUUUAUUUAUCUAUUCAUCCAGUCACAGACAUAUAGGUUGUUUCCAUAUUUGGGCUAUUGUGAAAAAGACUACACUGACCACGGAGGUGCACAUGUCUCUUCAAGACAGUGAUUUCAUUUCCUUUGGAUACAUACCCAGCAGUGAGAUUACUCGACAGUAUGGUAGUUCUAUUUUUAAUUUUUGGAGCAACCUGCAUACCAUUUCCAUAGCGGCUGCACCAAUUACAUUCCCACCAAUAGUGCACAAGCAUUCUCUUUGCUCUGCAUGCUCAUUAACACUUGUUAUCUCGUCUAUUUGAUGUAGCCAUUCUAACAGGUGUGCAGUGCUCUCUCAUUGGGAUUUUGAUUCGCAUUUCCAUGAUGAUUAGUGAUGUUGAACACCUUUUCAAAUGCUUAUUGAUAACUUCUAUAUCUUCUUUGCAGAAAUAUCUAUUGAAGUAUUUUGUCUAUGUCCUAAUUGCUUGUCUUUGUUUUUGUCACUGAAUUUUAGGAGUUCUUUAUAGAUUUUAAAUUUAAUACUUCAUCAAUUAUAUAGUUUCCAAAUAUUUGCUCCCAUUGUGUAGGCUGACUUUUUAUUUUCUUGAUAGUAUCCUUGCAUGCACAAAACUUCUUAAUUUUAAUGAUAUCCAGUUUAUCUGUUUUUAAAAUUAUGUUACCUGCAUUUUUGGUGUCAUAUUUACAAAAUCACUGCCAAAACCAAUGCUAUGAAGAUUUACCUUACUUCUAAGGCUUUUAUAUUUUCUCUUCUUAUGUUGAGAUCUUUGGAGCAUUUUGAGUUAUUUUUGCUUGUUUGUUUAUGGUGUAUGGUAUGUGUCCAUUUCCAUCCAUUUGCAUGGGGUGUCCAGUUGUGUUGAAGACACUUUCCUGUCCCCCACUGUGUGUCUUGGCACCUUGUGGAAGAUCCAUAUUGCAUGAGUUGAUUCCUGGGCUCUCUAUUCUAUUGCAAUGAUCUUUAUGUCAGUCCUGUGGUGUUACUAGAGUGUUUUAAAUACUGUAAGUUUGUAGUAAGCUUCAAAGUUGUGAAAUGUAUGUCCUCC